rnacentral:rRNA from 1 species
UACGGAAGGCAGCAGUGGGGAAUAUUGCACAAUGGGCGCAAGCCUGAUGCAGCCAUGCCGCGUGUAUGAAGAAGGCCUUCGGGUUGUAAAGUACUUUCAGUCGUGAAGGAAGGUGUUAAGGUUAAUAACCUUAGCAAUUGACGUUAGCGACAGAAGAAGCACCGGCUAACUCCGUGCCAGCAGCCGCGGUAAUACGGAGGGUGCGAGCGUUAAUCGGAAUUACUGGGCGUAAAGGGCACGCAGGCGGUUAAUUAAGUUGGAUGUGAAAUCCCCGGGCUUAACCUGGGAAUGGCAUUCAAGACUGGUUAGCUAGAGUCUUGUAGAGGGGGUAGAAUUCCAUGUGUAGCGGUGAAAUGCGUAGAGAUGUGGAGGAAUACCGGUGGCGAAGGCGGCCCCUGGACAAAGACUGACGCUCAUGUGCGAAAGCGUGGGGAGCAAACAGGGAUUAGAUACC